CCUACGGGUGGCUGCAGUGGGGAAUAUUGCACAAUGGGGGCAACCCUGAUGCAGCGACGCCGCGUGAGUGAAGACGUAACUAGUUAUUUAAAACUCUAUCUGUAGAGAAGUAAAUGACGGUACCUGUGUAAGAAUCCCCGGCUAACUUCGUGCCAGCAGCCGCGGUAAUACGGAGGGAGCAACCGUUAUCCGGAUUUACUGGGUGUAAAGGGAGCUUAGACGGGAUGGCAAGUCUGGAGUGAAAGGCGGGGGCUCAACCCCCGGACUGCUAUGGAAACUGUCAGGCUGGAGUGCAGGAGAGGUAAGUGGAAGUCCUGGUGUAGCGGUGAAAUGCGUAGAUAUUAGGAGGAACACCAGUGGCGAAGGCGGCUUACUAGACUGUAACUGACGUUGAGGCUCGAAAGUGUGGGGAGCAAACAGGAUUAGAUACCCGAGUAGUC
rnacentral:rRNA from 1 species